AUUGAACGCUGGCGGCAUGCCUUACACAUGCAAGUCGAACGGCAGCACGGACUUCGGUCUGGUGGCGAGUGGCGAACGGGUGAGUAAUAUAUCGGAACAUACCUUGUAGUGGGGGAUAACUAUCCGAAAGGAUAGCUAAUACCGCAUACGAUCUAAGGAUGAAAGCGGGGGAUCUUCGGACCUCGUGCUAUAAGAGUGGCCGAUAUCUGAUUAGCUAGUUGGUGAGGUAAAGGCUCACCAAGGCGACGAUCAGUAGCUGGUCUGAGAGGACGACCAGCCACACUGGAACUGAGACACGGUCCAGACUCCUACGGGAGGCAGCAGUGGGGAAUUUUGGACAAUGGGGGCAACCCUGAUCCAGCAAUGCCGCGUGAGUGAAGAAGGCCUUCGGGUUGUAAAGCUCUUUUGUCAGGGAAGAAACGGUUGUGGCUAAUAUCCAUGGCUAAUGACGGUACCUGAAGAAUAAGCACCGGCUAACUACGUGCCAGCAGCCGCGGUAAUAC
rnacentral:rRNA from 1 species